UGUGUAAUGCCAUUUGCUUACACAACGCACGUGGAUCGACAUGUUUAAGGGAAGAAAGCUGAAAGCGUGCUUUAAAUGUGGAUUUAAAAUUGAUAAGAUUCUGCAACCAAUUUGGGUGUGAAAAUGAUUAUAACACGUGCCAGUUGUAACAUUGCUAGUAGACUGUGGUGCUAAGAAAUUUAUUAACAUGUGCGGAACUGCAUCAGCAUAAAAACGAAUAUCAGGAAUUGUCCAUAAGGAAUGAAAUUAACAAUUCUUCAUAUGGAUUAUGCUGUAACAUUCAACUUCGCUAGCAUGUGUGCAUAUUUAAAGAUCUAAUAUUUCAAUGAACUGUUGGUUUCAAUGAACUUUUACGACUAAUAAAUCUCAAGCUAGAUGAAUGGUUCCAAGAGGGGCCGGGUCAAUGUGUCGGAGCCACUUGUUGAAUUUCAUAACUAAAUUUCGUUCAACACUUCCAAAAGGGACUACAACAACAGCAAGCUAGAUUGAUAUAGUGCAAUAAAGUACAGAGUAUUGGCCAUGUUUUAUUUAUUGGUGAAGACGUUAAAUAUGCAGUUAUUUAGAACCGUUUUUGAAAACUGCUAAUCUCCAACGGUAGCGACGCAUGACACUUCGGUUGUUGUAGUCUAGUAGUUUAGAAAUAGACUAUUUGCAGCUGCUCAAUGUCCAAAAUGCUAAACCAUAACUUUUAUUUAAAAGCUAAUACAUAAAUCAUCGUACUGAUAAUAAAAGCAUUUUAUGGAACAAUCUACCUUAAGCUAAAUGAGUUCAUUGUCAUCAUAUCUAUUGCAGUUUUUAUCAAGCUUUAUUUUUGCAAAUAGAACAUUGUUAGAAUAUCGUUACUUUGAAAAGAUUUUAUCUGAUCAAUGACGAUGUGGCUUUGAAAGCAACUAUAAAAUGCUCGUUUAAUUUCAAGAAGACUGCUUUACGAUAAUACAUAUUAUAAUUAAUAAAAUCAAUAAUAUUUGAUGGAAUAACGAUGCUUUGAAAAGAUUUCAUCAGAUCAUUGACGACGUGGCUUUGAAAGCAAGAAUAAACUGCUCGUUUAAUUCCCAAAAGACCGCAUACUAGUAUGAUAAUACAUAGCAUAAUUAAUAAAAUAAAUAAAAAUUUUGAUUAAAUAAAUACUUUACGAUUUUAUUU